UAGGAAAACAUUGCCAGCGCUGGCCCUGUCGUCAUGGAACCCCUGGGCCAUCUCCUGAGAAACUUGUGAAGGCAAAACGCUCAGAGUACACAGACCCUGGAGGAGCAGCAGUGUUUCCAGAGGAGCUUAUGGCUCAUUCAUCUUUAAUUCUACAGCAAAAUUCCUAAAGGCUUCUUGUAUUAAGAAAGAUGUCAGGGAGGAGGUAGAGGAAGAACUGGAAUUCAGAGCAAUAUCUGGGAAAUAAAGGCAGUUGCAGCUACAGUUUUUCCAGAAGUCAAGAAAUAUCCUUAUGUCCACUGAGAUAAAAGAUUUUAGUAAAGCAGCUCUGUCUAAUCAUUCAGUCAAACAUGAGCCUCAAUGCUAAGAUCAUCAUCAAUUUUUGGAAAGACUAUUUUGGACUAUGUGAAAUUUUAAGUACCUAACCUGGAGAGAGAGUGGUUACCAUCUAACCAACUGGCAUAUACAUUCACUGUA
rnacentral:lncRNA from 1 species